AAACGACUCUCGGCAACGGAUAUCUCGGCUCUCGCAUCGAUGAAGAACGUAGCGAAAUGCGAUACUUGGUGUGAAUUGCAGAAUCCCGUGAACCAUCGAGUCUUUGAACGCAAGUUGCGCCCGAUGCCAUCCGGCUGAGGGCACGUCUGCCUGGGUGUCACGC
rnacentral:rRNA from 2 species